GUGCCAGCAGCCGCGGUAAUACCGGCAGCCCGAGUGAUGGCCGAUCUUAUUGGGCCUAAAGCGUCCGUAGCUGGCCGCGCAAGUCCAUCGGGAAAUCCACCUGCUCAACAGGUGGGCGCCCGGUAGAAACUGUGCGGCUUGGGACCGGAAGGCGCGACGGGUACGUCCGGGGUAGGAGUGAAAUCCUAUAAUCCUGGACGGACCACCAAUGGGGAAACCACGUCGAGAGACCGGACCCGACAGUGAGGGACGAAAGCCAGGGUCUCGAACCGGAUUAGAAACCCUGGUAGUCC
rnacentral:rRNA from 1 species